rnacentral:rRNA from 1 species
GAUGAACGCUGGCGGCGUGCCUAAUACAUGCAAGUCGAGCGAACAGAUGAGGAGCUUGCUCCUCUGACGUUAGCGGCGGACGGGUGAGUAACACGUGGAUAACCUACCUAUAAGACUGGGAUAACUACGGGAAACCGGAGCUAAUACCGGAUAAUAUAUUGAACCGCAUGGUUCAAUAGUGAAACACGGUUUUGCUGUCACUUAUAGAUGGAUCCGCGCCGCAUUAGCUAGUUGGUAAGGUAACGGCUUACCAAGGCAACGAUGCGUAGCCGACCUGAGAGGGUGAUCGGCCACACUGGAACUGAGACACGGUCCAGACUCCUACGGGAGGCAGCAGUAGGGAAUCUUCCGCAAUGGGCGAAAGCCUGACGGAGCAACGCCGCGUGAGUGAUGAAGGUCUUCGGAUCGUAAAACGCUGUUAUUAGGGAAGAACAAAUGUGUAAGUAACUAUGCACGUCUUGACGGUACCUAAUCAGAAAGCCACGGCUAACUACGUG